AAAGCUUGGAGGGUUUAGCUGCGCGGAGAGCUCAGCGAGCUCUUCUGUGUCUGUUUGGGGCGUGUGGGCUCCGGGAGCGUGAGGACCGGGAAGCUAGGAGGCUCCUUCCCUUCUGGCGGCUCCCUCACUGAGACCGGGCGGUUUGGUUGCGGGGGAAGUGGAGACGAGCCACCCUUGACCUUUGACUGCAAGAACUCACCUUGAGCAGGAUAGAGGCACGUGGACGGUGACCCUCGGGAUGCAAUAAAUGCUGAGACAGAUCAGCAAACAUUGAGUGGGCCAGACACUGUUCUGAAAAAUACGCAGUCGACUUUUGAACAGCACAGGCUUGAACUGCAUGCGGCCACUAAUACUCGGACUUCCUUCUGCCUCUGCCAUCCCUAAGACAGCAAGACCCACCCCUCCUGCUCCUCAGCCUACUCGAUGUGAUGAUGUAUUUUUGUGGAAGAUAAAACUCGUGAGCAGUGAAAGUGGAUAUUUAGCAGAGGAGAUUUCUAAGCCAAGUGUUGAAGAAGUCACUGGCUUCCUUCUGACCACUUAAGGCAAAACAUAAGAAGAUGGAAAUGGCUUGAAGAUGGAAUUAUCGAGCAAAAGGAACUAGAACUUAAAGAUGUGGAAAAUUCUCAGCCUACUCAUAUUGCAAAAAUGGAGAAAGUGUGUUUGGAAAAUAACACUAAGGGUGUGGCUAACUGACCAUUUGAUAUGGAGGUCAGUAUAGGUGUGAACCAUGGACUUAAUCAACCAGCGGUUUCCCAGCAGGACAACUGUCAGUUUGAACUAAAUAGGAAGGGGAUGGUAAAGAAUGAAGGAAAGUUGUUGGACUUUUUGGAUUUUACAGGACAGGACUAUAGAGCUAUUCAGUUGUGAAUGUGUGCUCUUGUUAAAGACAAGGGGAAGAAUGAACCCAAGGGCAAUGCAGAGGUCAGUAGGUUACCUUCUUAGUUUCAAAAGGAGGGACCAUUGCCUUGCUUUCAACAGAAAUGAGCUCCACCCAAAGCUGUUGGGGAUACCACCUCCUGGCAGAGCCCUGGAGCUGCAAGUCCUGUCCAGCAGAGCUUUUUGGAGAAGACCACCUCCCAAGUGGGUCUGCAAGACUGUACCUCUGCCCCAGUGUGUCCAGUGGCCCUAGAGGGGAGAGCAUCAAGCCACAGAGGAUUAUCUUCAGCCUGAAGACCUGGUGAAAGUUGUCUUGUGAGGUUUGGGACUCCCUUGGGAUCUGUUAACCCUUCUUUCUUUUCUAUUUCUCCGUGUCAGAAUGGGAAUGUCUAUCUAUGUCUGUCUCACCACUGUAUUUUGAAAACAUGUUUGGUUUCACAUGUUUGCAGCUGUGAAUUUUGCCUCAGAAUGAAUUGUACUCUGAGUCUCACCUUAUCUGAUUUAGAUGAUACUUAGAUAAGAGUUUGGAGUUGAUGAUGCUAGAAUGAGUUAAAACUUUGAGGGCUUUGGGGAUGGAAUGAAUAUAUUUUACAUGUGAGAAGGAUAUGAUCUUUGCGGGGUUUGGAACAGAAUGCAGUGGACUAAUGUUCGUGUUACCUCCAAAAUUUCUAUAUUGAAAUCUUAAUCCCAAUAUGAUAGUAUUUGGAAAUCAGGCCUUUGGGAAGUGAUUAGGUCAUGAGGGUAGAGCCCUGAUAAAUGAGAUUGAUGCUUUUAUAAGAAGAGGCCAUUUCAUAUGGAACCAAAAUAGAUCCUGUAUAGCCAAGACAAUCUUAAGCAAAAAGAACAAAGCUGGAGGCCUCAUGCUAUCUGACUUCAAACUAUACUACAAAGCUACAGUAUCCAAAGCAGCAUGGUAUUGGUACCAAAACAGACAUAUAGGCCAAUGGAACAGAACAGAGGCCUCAAAAGGAACAUCACACAUCUACAACCAUCUGUUCUUUGACAAGUCUGACAAAAACAAGCAAUGGAGAAAGGACCUCCUAUUUAAUACAUGGUACUGGGAAAACUGGCUAGCCAUAUGCAGAAAAUUGAAACUGGACCCCUUCCUUAAACCUUCUACAAAAAUUAACUCAAGAUGGAUUAACGAUUUAAAUGUAAAACCCAAAACCAUAAAAACCCUAGAAGAAAACCUAGGCAAUCAUAGGGAUGGGCAAAGACUUCGUGAGGAAAACGCCAAAAGCAAUUGCAACAAAAGCCAGAAUUGAUAAAUGGGAUCUAAUUAAUCUAAAGAGCUUUUGCACAACAAAAGAAACUAGCAUCAGAGUGAACAGGCAACCUACAGAAUGGGAGAAAAUGUUUGCAAUCUACCCAUCUGACAAAUGUCUAAUAUCCAGAAUUUACAAGAAACUUAAACAAAUUUACAAGAAAAAACAAACAACCCCAUCAAAAAGUGGGCAAAGGAUAUGAACAGACACUUCUCAAAAGAAGACAUUUAUGAGCCAGCAAACACAUGAAAAGAAGUUCAACAUCACUGAUAGUUAGAGAACUGCAAACUAAAACGACAGUGAGAUACCAUCUCAUGCCAGUUGGAAUGGCAAUUAUUAAAAAGUCAGGAAACAAUAGAUGCUGGUGAGGCUGUUGGUGGGAAUGUAAAUUAGUUCAACCAUUGUGGAAGACAGUGUGGCAAUUCCUCAGGAUAUAGAACCAGAAAUACCAUUUGACCUAGCAAUCCCAUUACUGGGUAUAUAUGCCAAAAGGAAUAUAAAUCAUUCUACUAUAAAGACACAUGCACAUGUAUGUUUAUUGCAGCACUAUUUACAAUAGCAGACAUAGAACCAACCCAAAUGCCCAUCAAUUGAUAGACUGGAUAAAGAAAAUGUGGUACAUAUACACCAUGGAAUACUAUGCAGCCAUAAAAAGGAAUGAGAUCAUGUCCUUUGCAGGGACAUGGAUGGAGCUGGAAGCCAUCAUCCUCAGCAAACUAACACAGGAACAGAAAACCAAACACCGCAUGUUCUCACUUAUAAGUAGGAGUUGAACAAUAAGAACACAUGGACACAGGGAGGGGAACAACACACACCAGGGCCAGUUGGGGAGUGGGGGGCAUUAGGACAAAUAGCUAAUGUAUGUGGGGCUUAAAACCUAGAUGAUGAGUCGAUAGAUGCAACAAAACACCAUGGCACACAUAUACCUAUGUAACAAAACUACAC
ensembl:lncRNA STX18-AS1 STX18 antisense RNA 1 (head to head)